rnacentral:rRNA from 1 species
AUUGAACGCUGGCGGCAUGCCUUACACAUGCAAGUCGAGCGGCAGCGCGGGGGCAACCCUGGCGGCGAGCGGCGAACGGGUGAGUAAUACAUCGGAACGUGUCCAGUAGUGGGGGAUAACCAGUCGAAAGAUUGGCUAAUACCGCAUACGAUCUACGGAUGAAAGCGGGGGACCGUAAGGCCUCGCGCCAUUGGAGCGGCCGAGGUCCGAUUAGCUAGUUGGCGGGGUAACGGCCCACCAAGGCGACGAUCGGUAGCUGGUCUGAGAGGAUGAUCAGCCACACUGGAACUGAGACACGGUCCAGACUCCUACGGGAGGCAGCAGUGGGGAAUUUUGGACAAUGGGCGCAAGCCUGAUCCAGCCAUGCCGCGUGAGUGAAGAAGGCCUUCGGGUUGUAAAGCUCUUUCGGCGGGGACGAAACGGUCCGUGACAACACCACGGACUAAUGACGGUACUCGCAGAAGAAGCACCGGCUAACUACGUGCCAGCCGCCGCGGUA